rnacentral:tRNA from 1 species
GAGGGUAUAGCUCAGUGAUAAAGUACCUGCUUAGCAUGCACAAGGUCCUGAGUUCAAUCCUCAGUACCUCCA